AGUAGCUGGGACCACAGGUGUGAGCUGCCAUACCUGGCUAACUUUUUAAUUUUUUUGUAGAGAUGGAGUCUCACUACGUUGCUCAGGCUGGUCUCGAACCCUUGGUCUCAAGCAGUCCUCCUGCCUUGGCCUUCCAAAGUGCUGGAUUAUAGGUGUGAGCCCCUGCACCUGGCCCACAAUUAUCUUUCAAGAGGUGUUGCUUUUAUCAACCCCAUUUUAUAGAUGGGGAACAGGUUCUGAGUUUCUUCAGUAGUAACCCCAGGCUUUGGGGUACUGUGAGAACCUGGCAGGACACCGUGAAUCCUGGAUGGCUCAGAACCAGGCUCUGGAGGGGCUUCCCUAAAUUUAGGCCAGCCUUAGUCUGUUGGCCUUAGCAAAGGCAGGAAGAGCCUGUCUAGACUGAGUACUUCCUAAUUCUAGAUGUUACGCCAUUGGCCUGCUUGGGGGCCAGUCCUGGACCAAGAGGGUGCCGUGCUGGGGUGGAGAGCUUCUCACCAAAAGCAAAUAUGGUGUGAGGAACAUGUGUUCUCUGCCGGGCCUCAGCACAUGGGCAGUCUGUCGUGAUGCUCGCUGUAGCCAGCAGCCUGGGGUUGGGGCCCUGCUGAGUAAACUAGGAGAGCGGCUGAAUUCUGAGGAGCAGAGAGGUAGAUACGGGCCCCUGGCCUCUUGAGCCGGGGAGAGGAGAGAGUUUCUGAAAAAGAGAGAUACCAGCCAGGGCCCAAGCACUGACACAGGAGACCCUGUGAUGGCGAUGGCUCAGGUCUCCCCCAUCAGAUCAGGAGUUCCUGAAUCCGGAGUGGUCCGUUUGGGCUGGAGGCUCCUAAGGGCAGAACUCUCGCUCCUCCGACACAUCGGGAGCUCCUGUGUGCAGGGCUCUGUCUCCAACUUCGGGCUGAGGCUUCUAACGGCAGCACGUCUCUUCCCUCCGACUAGGGCAGUGAAGCGCUAAGUAUUCCAAGACAGCAAUGUCAGGAAAGGCUGCUCAGGUUUGAGGAGUGGGACCGGCAGAGCUGGAUGAAACCUGACUAUGCUGAAGCGGAAAUGGAGACCCUGGGAGGGGCAGGGACCUGCUGAGUGCCUCCCCUAGGGAGUAGCUGACCUGGACUGCAUCCUGGUGCUCCUGCUGAGGGAGGAGGAUUUGGGGUAAGGAGAGUAAGUGUGGCCUUAGGAAUACAGCCCCCAGAGCCAGGCAGGAGCGGGCAGCCCCACAGGGCCCAGGUUCAAGUGCGAGGCUGCCAAUACCGCCCCUUGGAAGCGCCUCCGUUGUUCUGUCCUGGAUGUUUGAGUCCUUGGCCAGCUUCCUGGGCAAUGGCCUCAUCCCACUGAGACAGACAGAUGUGCACAGCUGGGGGAGGGGCUUGGUGAAAUCCAACCCCGCCCAGCACAGGCCUGGGCUUCCCGGGGCUGGAACUUAUCUGGAUUCUGGUCCAGAUCUCUGCCUUGGCCCUGUUGUGCAGCCCUGGGCAGUGCUGUGGCUUCCCCUUGGGCCUCAGUUUUCUUGUCUCUCAAAUAGGGGAAGCUCUUCAUUCUUUCAUCAGACAUUGACUGCGGUGGUCCAUCGUUGGCCCACUGACUCUAGUAUUUGGGGGUGCAUUAUCUGGUUGUAGGAUACUUCUGCCCCUCUAUUUUAAAAUUUGUCUCAAAAAAUUAUGGUAGAAUGGUCUGGGCGCGGUGGCUCAUGCCUGCAAUCCCAGCACUUUGGGAGGCCGAGGCGGGCAGAUCUCGAGGUCAGGAGAUCAAGACCAUCCUGGCCAACAUGGUGAAAACCCGUCUCUACUAAAAAUACAAAACUUAGCCGGGCGUGGUGGCGGGCGUCUGUAGUCCCAGCUACUCGGGAGGCUGAGGGAGGAGAACCGCUUGAACCCGGGAGGUGGAGGUUGCAGUGAGCCGACAUUGGGCUACUACACUCCAGCCUGGCGACAGAGCGAGAUUCCAUCUUAAAAAAAAAAAAAAAAA
ensembl:lncRNA